CAUAAUCCAGCUCCAAUAAACAUUUGUCCCGUCUUUCUUUCAUGCUUACACCCAAAAGCAACAAAUUCAUCUAGUUGCAUGAUACAUUCCUUUUAUCCACAUAUGAAUGUAGGACUGCCACAAACCAUGCUCCCAAAAACAUGCCUGUUCCACAUUCUCAUUAGUUUAAGGUCGCUUGACAUUAUACAAACCUUAUUCUCAAUUCACACUUCUCAAUAUUACACCAAAUAUCACCAUCUCACGGUACGAAGAGCGCACAUUUUUAUCAGGUAUAAGUAGUCGAAUUAAGAAGGAGAUGAGACUUUUCUUUUGAAGAAGUUUAGUCACAAAUCUCAGGAAGUUGAAUGCUGGCCAAAGGGCUUCAAAUACAUAACGCACUCAUUGUAAAGAGUGUUGAUCAUAUCACCAUCUCACGGGACAAAGGGCGCACAUUUUUAUUAGGUAUCAGUAGUCGAAUUAACUAGGAGAUGAGACUUUUCUUUUGAAGAAGGUCAGUCACAAAUCUCAGGAAGUUGAAUGCUGGCCAAAGGGCUUCAAAUACAUAAUGCACUCAUUGUAAAGAGUGUUGAUCAUAAGCAAAUGCAACAAAACCAGCUAGAUUCUCACACUAAUAAAAAGCAACAAGGAGAACAUCGAAGCACACAAUUUCCAUUGAUGCUUGCCGCCAUAACUAAUGCUUAACAUAGCAUGAUUAAACCAAUCACGAUGGCUAUCCAGGAAAAAAUCGAUGCUAGUGAGCCAAAAGGAGAUCUAACCUUGUUCCAGGAUCAACCAAUUUCAGCAAAGAACUAUUGGGGACAACAACCUCAGACACAGGGGUCUUCAUGGCUCUCUCCUGAUCUUGCAAACACUCACUCCUCGCCAAAAAAGUGACAAUGUCAAGAGAAU